AGCGAACGCUGGCGGCAGGCCUAACACAUGCAAGUCGAACGAACUCUUCGGAGUUAGUGGCGGACGGGUGAGUAACACGUGGGAACGUGCCUUUUGGUUCGGCAUAACUCAGGGAAACUUGUGCUAAUACCGAAUGUGCCCCCCGGGGGAAAGAUUUAUCGCCAUUAGAGCGGCCCGCGUCUGAUUAGCUAGUUGGCGAGGUAACGGCUCACCAAGGCGACGAUCAGUAGCUGGUCUGAGAGGAUGACCAGCCACACUGGGACUGCGACACGGCCCAGACUCCUACGGGAGGCAGCAGUGGGGAAUCUUGCGCAAUGGGCGAGAGCCUGACGCAGCCAUGCCGCGUGAAUGAUGAAGGUCUUAGGAUUGUAAAAUUCUUUCACCGGGGACGAUAAUGACGGUACCCGGAGAAGAAGCCCCGGCUAACUUCGUG
rnacentral:rRNA from 1 species